rnacentral:tRNA from 2 species
CGGAAUGUGGCGCAGUUGGUAGCGUGCGUGUUUUGGGUACUCGAGGUCGCAGGUUCGAAUCCUGUCAUUCCGA